GCGGGGAUGCCGGAGCGGUCAAACGGGAUGGACUCAAAAUCCAUUGGCUUAGUGCCUACGCAGGUUCGAACCCUGUUCCCCGCA
rnacentral:tRNA from 1 species